rnacentral:ncRNA from 1 species
AUAAAACUGCCACCGGGUAGUAGAUGCUAAAAGCAUCCGUUUGUACAUCGUUAGGUCUUAGAAGAUGUACUUUCGGAUGCUUAUUUUAU